CCCAUCCCCCUUUUACCCCUAUAGUCCGGACACGUAAGGCAAGCAUUUUUGAUUCGGUGUAAUCUGCACAAGUACAAUCCUAGAUUUCUAUAUUGCCUUUUACUCCACUUGCUAAAUAGGCGGCUAGCUUUCUACUAGGUAGCUGUCAUUAUCUGUUCUUAAUAGUAAGUGAUUCUCAGCCACAAAUAAUCUUUUUUUUUACUAUUUUCAUAGAAAGUUAACUAUAUAUCAUCGUCAUCAUACACCGUCUAUCCUCGUCGUAGAGUUUCAGUAGAAGUCAUGUCGAAUUGGAAAAGACGAUCAUUUAUAUUUUGUGAUUUCAAAGGAGCUUAAGAGAUUCAUGUACAUCUCGUGAACCAGUGUAUUCA
rnacentral:lncRNA from 1 species